UAGAGUUUGAUCCUGGCUCANAAUGAACGCUGGCGGCGUGCUUAACACAUGCAAGUCGAACGAUGAAGCCUAGCUUGCUAGGUGGAUUAGUGGCGCACGGGUGAGUAAUAUAUAGGUAACGUGCCUCUUAGUCUGGGAUAGCCAUUGGAAACGAUGAUUAAUACUGGAUACUCCUUCUAACUCUAAUGUUAGUCGGGAAAGUUUUUCGCUAAGAGAUCGGCCUAUUUCCCAUCAGCUUGUUGGUAGUGUAAGAGACUACCAAGGCUAUGACGGGUAGCGGGUUUGAGAGGAUGAUCCGCCACACUGGUACUGAGACACGGACCAGACUCCUACGGGAGGCAGCAGUGAGGAAUAUUGCACAAUGGAGGAAACUCUGAUGCAGCAACGCCGCGUGGAGGAUGACGCAUUUCGGUGUGUAAACUCCUUUUAUGAGUCAAGAAAAUGACGGUAGCUCAUGAAUAAGCACCGGCUAACUCCGUGCCAGCAGCCGCGGUAAUACGGAGGGUGCAAGCGUUAUUCGGAAUUAUUGGGCGUAAAGGGCGUGUAGGCGGUCUUAUCGGUCAGAUGUGAAAGCCCAGGGCUCAACCCUGGACGUGCAUUUGAAACAGUAAGACUUGAGUACUGGAGAGGAAAGCGGAAUUCCUGGUGUAGAGGUGAAAUUCGUAGAUAUCAGGAGGAACACCGAUGGCGAAGGCAGCUUUCUGGACAGAAACUGACGCUGAUGCGCGAAGGCGUGGGUAGCGAACAGGAUUAGAUACCCUGGUAGUCCACGCAGUAAACGAUGUACACUAGGUGUAGGAGAUAUUAAAAUUUUCUGUGCCGCAGUUAACGCAUUAAGUGUACCGCCCUGGGGAGUACGGUCGCAAGACUAAAACUCAAAGGAAUAGACGGGGACCCGCACAAGCGGUGGAGCAUGUGGUUUAAUUCGACGAUACGCGAAGAACCUUACCUGGCCUUGACAUAGAAAGAAUUUAGCAGAGAUGUAAAAGUGCUAGUUUACUAGAGCUUUCAUACAGGUGCUGCACGGCUGUCGUCAGCUCGUGUCGUGAGAUGUUAGGUUAAGUCCUGCAACGAGCGCAACCCUCGUGUUUAGUUACUAACAGUUCGGCUGAGGACUCUAGACAUACUGCCUGGGCAACCAGGAGGAAGGUGAGGACGACGUCAAGUCAUCAUGGCCCUUACGGCCAGGGCUACACACGUGCUACAAUGGGGUAUACAAAGAGCCGCAAUACCGCGAGGUGGAGCAAAUCUCAUAAAAUAUCUCCCAGUUCGGAUUACACUCUGCAACUCGAGUGUAUGAAGUUGGAAUCGCUAGUAAUCGUAGAUCAGCAAUGCUACGGUGAAUACGUUCCCGGGUCUUGUACUCACCGCCCGUCACACCAUGGGAGUUGAAUUCAUUCGAAGCGGGGAUGCUAAAAUAGCUACCUUCCACAGUGGAUUUAGUAAUCUAGGGUGAAGUCGUAAGCAAGGUAACC
rnacentral:rRNA from 1 species